UACGUAGGGUGCGAGCGUUAAUCGGAAUUACUGGGCGUAAAGCGUGCGCAGGCGGUUUUGUAAGCCAGAUGUGAAAUCCCCGGGCUUAACCUGGGAAUGGCAUUUGGGACUGCAAGGCUUGAGUGCGGCAGAGGAGACUGGAAUUCCUGGUGUAGCAGUGAAAUGCGUAGAUAUCAGGAGGAACACCGGUGGCGAAGGCGGCGUUCUGGACUGCAACUGACACUGAGGAACGAAAGCCAGGGGAGCAAACGGG
rnacentral:rRNA from 1 species